rnacentral:rRNA from 1 species
UACGAAGGGGGCUAGCGUUGCUCGGAAUCACUGGGCGUAAAGGGCGCGUAGGCGGCCGAUUAAGUCGGGGUGAAAGCCUGUGGCUCAACCACAGAAUUGCCUUCGAUACUGGUGGCUUGAGACCGGAAGAGGACAGCGGACUGCGAGUGUAGUAGGAGAAAUUCGUAGAUAUUCGCAAGAACACCAGUGGCGAAGGCGGCUGUCUGGUCCGGUUCUGGACGCUGAGGCGCGAAAGCGGUGGGGAGCAAAGCAGGG